rnacentral:ncRNA from 1 species
CGGGUUGUAAGCGCCAGUUGGACGAGUCAGUUCUUAGUUAAGAGUCAGUUGUCUAGUUGUCUUUUGCUUUGCAUGUAACCGACUCAGUAGAAUCUUUUCCUAUAUAAGGAUGUAAUCCACCUUCAUUGAAUACUAAGAAGUGAGCGUAGCCUCACCGUGUUGUUUUUCUCUCGUAUAUUUUAUCUAAUACAACCCACAUAACCUUACCAUCUCUUGACAUAUGAACAAGUGUUCCCUAACGGGAUGGUGCAAAAAUUCAUACAGGUGUUGCAUGGAUGUUGAAAAUUCAUACUGAUCAAUGCCAUAAAUUUCUUCUCAAUGAAUCAAUAGGGCGAGGGUGAGAAACUGGACAACUCUCCCGACAUAGGUUAUUUAUUGCUCACCCAUAGGAGGGUGAGGAGAGCAUUUAACUCGUCUCAACUAAAGGGAGAGAAGGGUGAUGCCAGUGUCUCUGUUUUUUAAUUGAUGAAACUCCUAUGAAGGAAGGUGUGUGCCGCACUCACAAGAGACUGUCAGUGAUAUGCUGGAGGAGGGUGGAGAUGACGUCAAGUCUACAUGGCCUUUAUGGGCACAAGUGCUACAAUGGUAAUGACAAUGGGAAGCAAGGUUGUAAGGCAGAGAGAAUCCAUAAAGAUUGUCUCAAUUCGAAUUGUUCUCUGCAACUCAAGAACAUGAAGUUGGAAUCGUUAGUAAUCACGGUGAAUAUGUACCCGGGUAACGUACACACCACCACCUGUCACACCCUCGGAGUUGAUUUCGCCAGAAGCAUCAGAUCAAUGAUCACCCUAUCUAUAUAUGUUCCACUAGUGUGGCCCAUGGAGGUUGGGGUGGUCUUAUUGGCACAUACCACAGUGGGGUUUUCGACUGGGGUGAAGUCGUAAAAAGUAGUAGUAGAGGAACCUGCGGCUGGAUCGAAUCCCUC